rnacentral:tRNA from 1 species
GGAUGUGUGAGCGGAAUUGGUAACGCAGCGGUCUGUAAAAUCGUGGCUUCGGCAUUUCUGGUUCGAGUCCAGAGACAUCCACUA